CCUACGGGUGGCAGCAGUGAGGAAUCUUCGGCAAUGGAGGCAACUCUGACCCAGCCAUGCCGCGUGAGUGAAGAAGGUUUUCGGAUUGUAAAGCUCUUUCGGAUGUGACGAUGAUGACGGUAGCAUCUAAAGAAGCCCCGGCUAACUUCGUGCCAGCAGCCGCGGUAAUACGAAGGGGGCAAGCGUUGUUUGGAAUUACUGGGCGUAACGGGAGUGUAGGCGGUUUAAUAAGAUAGUUGUGAAAUCCCAGGGCUUAACUUUGGAAUUGCCAUUAUAACUAUUAGACUAGAAUUACAGAGAGGAGAGUGGAACACCAAGUGUAGAGGUGAAAUGCGUAGAUAUAGGGUAGAACACCAGUGGCGAAGGCGACUAUCUGGUUGUAAAUUGACGCUGAGGCUCGAAAGCAUGGGGAUCAAACAGGAUUAGAUACCCGUGUAGUC
rnacentral:rRNA from 1 species